UACGUAGGGUGCAAGCGUUGUCCGGAAUUAUUGGGCGUAAAGAGCUCGUAGGCGGUCUGUUGCGUCGGCUGUGAAAACCCGGGGCUCAACUCCGGGCCUGCAGCCGAUACGGGCAGACUAGAGUUCGGCAGGGGAGACUGGAAUUCCUGGUGUAGCGGUGAAAUGCGCAGAUAUCAGGAGGAACACCGGUGGCGAAGGCGGCAUCCUGGACCGACAUUGACGCUGAACGGCGAAAGCUAGGGGAGCAAACGGG
rnacentral:rRNA from 1 species